rnacentral:rRNA from 1 species
UACGUAGGUGGCAAGCGUUGUCCGGAUUUACUGGGCGUAAAGGGCGCGUAGGCGGUUCGUACAGUCAGACGUGAAAUUCCUGGGCUCAACCUGGGGGCUGCGUUUGAUACGUGCGGGCUUGAGUUCGGAAGAGGGUCGUGGAAUUCCCAGUGUAGAGGUGAAAUUCGUAGAUAUUGGGAAGAACACCGGUGGCGAAGGCGGCGACCUGGUCCGAUACUGACGCUGAGGCGCGAAAGCGUGGGGAGCAAACAGG